rnacentral:rRNA from 1 species
UACAGAGACUGCAAGCGUUAUUCGGAUUCACUGGGCGUAAAGGGCGCGUAGGCGGUUGUGCGAGUGUGGUGUGAAAGCCCCGGGCUUAACCUGGGAAGCGCAUCGCAAACGGCAUGACUGGAGUAGAUGAGAGGGUGGCGGAAUUUCCGGUGGUAGCGGUGAAAUGCGUAGAGAUCGGAAGGAACGUCAAUGGCGAAGGCAGCCACCUGGCAUCAUACUGAGCUGAGGCGCGAAAGCGUGGGUAGCGAACAGG